GACGAACGCUGGCGGCGUGCUUAACACAUGCAAGUCGAACGGAAAGGCCCCUUUGGGGGUACUCGAGUGGCGAACGGGUGAGUAACACGUGAGUAACCUGCCCUUGACUUCGGGAUAACUUCAGGAAACUGGGGCUAAUACCGGCUAGGAAUCCUUGCUGCAUGGUGGGGGUUGGAAAGCUUCGGCGGUUUUGGAUGGACUCGCGGCUUAUCAGCUUGUUGGUGGGGUAGUGGCUUACCAAGGCUUUGACGGGUAGCCGGCCUGAGAGGGCGACCGGCCACAGUGGAACUGAGAUACGGCCCAGACUCCUACGGGAGGCAGCAGUGGGGAAUAUUGCACAAUGGGCGGAAGCCUGAUGCAGCAACGCCGCGUGCGGGAUGACGGCCUUCGGGUUGGAAACCGCUUUCAGCAGGGGCGAAGCUUGUGGUGACGGUACCUGCAGAAGAAGCACCGGCUAACUACGUG
rnacentral:rRNA from 1 species